rnacentral:rRNA from 1 species
UGACGAGUGGCGGACGGGUGAGUAAAGUAUGGGGAUCUGCCGGAUGGAAGGGGACAACAGUUGGAAACGACUGCUAAUACCGUAUAAAGUUGCGAGACCAAAGCGUGGGACUUUCGGGCCACGCGCCAUCUGAUGAACCCAUAUGGGAUUAGCUAGUAGGUAGGGUAAAGGCUUACCUAGGCGACGAUCUCUAGCUGGUCUGAGAGGAUGACCAGCCACACUGGGACUGAGACACGGCCCAG